GAGAGCCCGGAGCCGGAUCCACUCUCAGCCUCAGGAAGCAGCAGCCUCCGCUCCGCGGCGGGUGUGCUCGGCAGUCACAGACCCACUCAGGACACCUCCCGUUGCCGACGGGCUAGACCUGCCUUAAAGGGGUCCCCGUGUCUCUCCAGUCUAGAGCCUAAGUUCAAACGAGGCGUAUAGGCGAGGACAGCAGGAAGGCUCCAAGUCAAACAAACGGAUGGGAAGUGGUCUUGGGAAACCUGAAGACACUGGGAUAUUCAGAAGGCCAAGGGGAUCCAGCUUAUCCUGUUGGGCAAGGUGCUGGGAGUGAAGGCAGGUCACCUGAAUGAUACUGGUGCCAUUUCUGAAGUUGGUGAAACUCCGCAUUACAUCCUGACUCAGAGAUUCCACUGAUGAUUUCCAGGAACUACCAAAGCCACGGAUCAGCUGAGUUACCCGGGCUAAUAGCAGGAGGAAACAGUGUCAGAGAGGGAUCUGGCUGAUCUUCAACUCCACUAAGUUCUCCCCAAGGGUCUUGCUCCAUCACCCACGCUGGAGUGCAGUGGCACAAUCACAGCUCACUACAACCUCAACUUUCCUGGCUCAGUGAUUAUCCCACCUCAGCCUCCUGAGUAGCUGGGACUAACAGGCAUGUGCCAACAUGUCCCACUCAUUUUUUUUUUAUUUUUUGUAGAGAUGGGGUUUCACCAUGUUGUCCAGGCUG